rnacentral:rRNA from 1 species
AUUGAACGCUGGCGGCAGGCCUAACACAUGCAAGUCGAGCGAGCGGCGGACGGGUGAGUAAUGUCUGGGAAACUGCCUGAUGGAGGGGGAUAACUACUGGAAACGGUAGCUAAUACCGCAUACCAUCAGAUGUGCCCAGAUGGGAUUAGCUAGUAGGUGGGGUAAUGGCUCACCUAGGCGACGAUCCCUAGCUGGUCUGAGAGGAUGACCAGCCACACUGGAACUGAGGCACGGUCCAGACUCCUACGGGAGGCAGCAGUGGGGAAUAUUGCACAAUGGGCGCAAGCCUGAUGCAGCCAUGCCGCGUGUAUGAUGAAGGCCUUCGGGUUGUAAAGUACUUUUGGCGGAGAAGCGGUAACAGCAGAAUAAGCACCGGCUAACUACGUGCCAGCAGCCGCGGUAAUAC